AUUGAACGCUGCGGCAUGCUUACACAUGCAAGUCGAACGGCAGCACGGGAGCAAUCCUGGUGGCGAGUGGCGAACGGGUGAGUAAUAUAUCGGAACGUGCCCAGUCGUGGGGGAUAACGUAGCGAAAGCUACGCUAAUACCGCAUACGAUCUAUGGAUGAAANCGGGGGAUCGCAAGACCUCGCGCGAUUGGAGCGGCCGAUAUCAGAUUAGGUAGUUGGUGAGGUAAAGGCUCACCAAGCCGACGAUCUGUAGCUGGUCUGAGAGGACGACCAGCCACACUGGGACUGAGACACGGCCCAGACUCCUACGGGAGGCAGCAGUGGGGAAUUUUGGACAAUGGGCGCAAGCCUGAUCCAGCAAUGCCGCGUGCAGGAUGAAGGCCUUCGGGUUGUAAACUGCUUUUGUACGGAACGAAACGGUGAGCUCUAAUACAGUUUGCUAAUGACGGUACCGUAAGAAUAAGCACCGGCUAACUACGUG
rnacentral:rRNA from 1 species